GGAAAGAGAGAGAGGCAGCAGCUUUGCAAAAGGAAGCAAGGAAUUCUGUGUCUAAGUUGGUUGGACCCACUUCAUUAAACAUUGAGGAUAAGUAUAGGUUCAUGAUUGCCUCUUCAAGCAUCAAAGGAGAGGGCGCAGCAGAUAGUGCUUGGGAUGAUUAAAUGGAAGUUUCCUUCAGUACCUCUUACAUAGCUUUGAUGAUACAUGCUUAUGAUUCCAUGAAUUUUAAGGUGUACAGUUUCUGAGUUGGGGCUCAAACAUGAAGAUGUGCUGAAGAUUAUAAUUUCUGGUGAGUUCAUCUUCCAAUGUCGUUGCUCCAUUACAUGUUCAGUUGCCAGUUGUAUCAAUGGUGGAUUGAAUGAAUGAUGGUAGGACUGCUUGUGUAUUGUGAAUAUUGUACAUCUUAGGAGUGUCCUAGUGAAAACUCUACAAUUUGAUCUUGUGAUUUUGAUACUUAUGGAAGUGUCGACUUUAAUCAAGUAUCUUUGCAUUUGUUAUCUC